rnacentral:misc_RNA from 1 species
UACGGAGGGUGCAAGCGUUGUCCGGAAUCAUUGGGGGUAAAGGGUGCGUAGGCGGAAGCCUAAGUCGGGGGUGAAAUCUUGCCGCUUAACGGUAAAAUGGCCUUCGAUACUGGGUUUCUUGAGUUCGGCAGAGGUUGGUGGAAGUCGUGGUGUAGCGGUGAAAUGCAUAGAGAUCACGAAGAACACCAGUGGCGAAGGCGGCCAACUGGUCCGACACUGACGCUGAGGCACGAGAGCGUGGGGAGCGAACAGG